UGGAUUGCAGCUCAGUGGUAGAGCAUAUGCUUUUCAUGUACAAGGUCCCUAGUUCACUUCCUGGUAUCUUCAA